CCAGACUCCUACGGGAGGCAGCAGUGGGGAAUAUUGCACAAUGGGCGCAAGCCUGAUGCAGCGACGCCGCGUGCGGGAUGGAGGCCUUCGGGUUGUAAACCGCUUUUGAUCGGGAGCAAGCCCUUCGGGGUGAGUGUACCUUUCGAAUAAGCACCGGCUAACUACGUGCCAGCAGCCGCGGUAAUACGUAGGGUGCAAGCGUUAUCCGGAAUUAUUGGGCGUAAAGGGCUCGUAGGCGGUUCGUCGCGUCCGGUGUGAAAGCCCAUCGCUUAACGGUGGGUCUGCGCCGGGUACGGGCGGGCUGGAGUGCGGUAGGGGAGACUGGAAUUCCCGGUGUAACGGUGGAAUGUGUAGAUAUCGGGAAGAACACCAAUGGCGAAGGCAGGUCUCUGGGCCGUCACUGACGCUGAGGAGCGAAAGCGUGGGGAGCGAACAGGAUUAGAUACCCUGGUAGUCCACGCCGUAAACGGUGGAUGCUGGAUGUGGGGCCCGUUCCACGGGUUCCGUGUCGGAGCUAACGCGUUAAGCAUCCCGCCUGGGGAGUACGGCCGCAAGGCUAAAACUCAAAGAAAUUGACGGGGGCCCGCACAAGCGGCGGAGCAUGCGGAUUAAUUCGAUGCAACGCGAAGAACCUUACCUGGGCUUGACAUGUUCCCGACGGCCGUAGAGAUAUGGCCUCCCUUCGGGGCGGGUUCACAGGUGGUGCAUGGUCGUCGUCAGCUCGUGUCGUGAGAUGUUGGGUUAAGUCCCGCAACGAGCGCAACCCUCGCCCUGUGUUGCCAGCACGUCAUGGUGGGAACUCACGGGGGACCGCCGGGGUCAACUCGGAGGAAGGUGGGGAUGACGUCAGAUCAUCAUGCCCCUUACGUCCAGGGCUUCACGCAUGCUACAAUGGCCGGUACAGCGGGAUGCGACAUGGCGACAUGGAGCGGAUCCCUGAAAACCGGUCUCAGUUCGGAUUGGAGUCUGCAACCCGACUCCAUGAAGGCGGAGUCGCUAGUAAUCGCGGAUCAGCAACGCCGCGGUGAAUGCGUUCCCGGGCCUUGUACACACCGCCCGUCAAGUCAUGAAAGUGGGCAGCACCCGAAGCCGGUGGCCUAACCCCUUGUGGGAUGGAGCCGUCUAAGGUGAGGCUCGUGAUUGGGACUAAGUCGUAACAAGGUAGCCGUACCGGAAGGUGCGGCUG
rnacentral:rRNA from 1 species